UACGUAGGGGGCAAGCGUUGUCCGGAAUCAUUGGGCGUAAAGCGCGUGUAGGCGGGUCGGUAAGUCCGCUCUGAAAGCCCGGGGCUCAACCCCGGGAGGCGGGUGGAUACUGUCGACCUCGAGUCCGGAAGAGGCGAGUGGAAUUCCUGGUGUAGCGGUGGAAUGCGCAGAUAUCAGGAGGAACACCGAUGGCGAAGGCAGGUCACUGGGCCGCAACUGACGCUGAGGAGCGAAAGCAUGGGGAGCGAACAGG
rnacentral:rRNA from 1 species